rnacentral:rRNA from 1 species
GUGGCGAACGGGUGAGUAACACGUGAGUAACCUGCCCCUGACUCUGGGAUAAGCGUUGGAAACGACGUCUAAUACUGGAUACGACUGCCGGCCGCAUGGUCUGGUGGUGGAAAGAUUUUUUGGUUGGGGAUGGACUCGCGGCCUAUCAGCUUGUUGGUGAGGUAAUGGCUCACCAAGGCGACGACGGGUAGCCGGCCUGAGAGGGUGACCGGCCACACUGGGACUGAGACACGGCCCAGACUCCUACGGGAGGCAGCAGUGGGGAAUAUUGCACAAUGGGCGAAAGCCUGAUGCAGCAACGCCGCGUGAGGGAUGACGGCCUUCGGGUUGUAAACCUCUUUUAGUAGGGAAGAAGCGAAAGUGACGGUACCUGCAGAAAAAGCACCGGCUAACUACGUGCCAGCAGCCGCGGUAAUACGUAGGGUGCAAGCGUUGUCCGGAAUUAUUGGGCGUAAAGAGCUCGUAGGCGGUUUGUCGCGUCUGCUGUGAAAUCCCGAGGCUCAACCUCGGGCUUGCAGUGGGUACGGGCAGACUAGAGUGCGGUAGGGGAGAUUGGAAUUCCUGGUGUAGCGGUGGAAUGCGCAGAUAUCAGGAGGAACACCGAUGGCGAAGGCAGAUCUCUGGGCCGUAACUGACGCUGAGGAGCGAAAGCGUGGGGAGCGAACAGGAUUAGAUACCCUGGUAGUCCACGCCGUAAACGUUGGGCGCUAGAUGUAGGG